rnacentral:rRNA from 1 species
AGGGCACCACCAGGAGUGGAGCCUGCGGCUUAAUUUGACUCAACACGGGAAAACUCACCCGGCCCGGACACUGGAAGGAUUGACAGAUUGAGAGCUCUUUCUUGAUUCAGUGGGUGGUGGUGCAUGGCCGUUCUUAGUUGGUGGAGUGAUUUGUCUGGUUAAUUCCGAUAACGAACGAGACUCUAGCCUAUUAAAUAGAUCGUUGGCUUACAAACGCCGGCGAGACUUCUUAGAGGGACAGGCGGCGAUUCAGCCGCACGAAACAGAGCAAUAACAGGUCUGUGAUGCCCUCAGAUGUCCGGGGCCGCACGCGCGCUACACUGAAGUGAUCAGCGUGCAUUUUGAAACCUACUCUGUCAAGAGUGGGGAACCCAAUGAACCUUCUUCGUGAUUGGGAUAGGGGAUUGUAAUUAUUCCCCUUGAACGAGGAAUUCCCAGUAAGCGCGAAUCAUAAGUUCGCGCUGAUUACGUCCCUGCCCUUUGUACACACCGCCCGUCGCUACUACCGAUUGAAUGUUU